UCUCAAGACUGGCCAGAGAUCACAAAGUAUGCUGGAUUGGUUUCUGCUCAGGCCCAUCGACAGGAGUUGAUUCAAGAUCUGUUUAAAGUUUGGCAAGACCCUCAGCGAGGAACUGUUAGCGGCGGCAUGAUUAAGGAGCUGCUUAUAUCUUUCAAAAGAGAAACCGGUCAAAAGCCGAAGAGAAUCAUAUUUUACAGGGAUGGUGUGAGU
rnacentral:misc_RNA from 1 species